UUACUUACAAGGAAUUCGAGACCGCAUGUGAACAAAGCAGCGCCUGUAGUUACCAAAAAGGUUUGCAAAAAACUCGAUGCGUCCGAGAGUGUAUUUCCCCAUCGUGCUACAAAGAAAUCUAUCAAGCAGAUCCGCUUGAAGAAGGUGAAAUCGACGUCCGAUUGAACUCGUUCAAGGGUUGUUUUGCACAGAGAGCGGGUCGUUCGAGAAAUUGAUUGUCAUCUAGUGUUAUUUCAUCGUUACUACUAUGUAGUGACAAAGUUCAGUCGAUUCAACGCAAAAUGAAAUUCAGUUUUGGAAUUUUAACGUUUGUUACAGAUACAACAUGCCAACACACUUCAUUUUUAUUUUACACACUGUGCAGAAGAAAAUAUGCGAUCUUAUUUAACAAAAAAACCUUAAAUGUUCAGCAGCGAGUGAAAUGAAAACGUGACCUACGACAUAAUGCGCUGGAACAUGCAAAUAAUAAUUUAUAAAGAUAACUAAAAACGCUUCAAAAGAUGUA